rnacentral:rRNA from 1 species
AUACGCCAAGCUAUUUAGGUGACACUAUAGAAUACUCAAGCUAUGCAUCCAACGCGUUGGGAGCUCUCCCAUAUGGUCGACCUGCAGGCGGCCGCGAAUUCACUAGUGAUUAGAGUUUGAUCCUGGCUCAGGAUGAACGCUGGCGGCGUGGAUAAGGCAUGCAAGUCGAGCGAGCCGUAGCAAUACGGCUAGCGGCAGACGAGUUAGUAAUACAUAGGAAUCUACCCUGAAGUCGCGAAUAAUUCGCCGAAAGGCGGACUAAUACGCGAUGGUCCCCGAGAGCAAUCGAGGGGUAAAGAUUUAUCGCUUCAGGAGGAGCCUAUGUCCUAUCAGCUAGUUGGCGAGGUAAAGGCUCGCCAAGGCUAUGMCGGGUAGGGGGUUCGAGAGAAUGGCCCCCAACGUUGGGACUGAGACACGGCCCAGACUCCUACGGGAGGCAGCAGCCGAGAAUAUUCGACAAUGGGCGAAAGCCUGAUCGAGCGACGCCGCGUGCAGGAAGAAGUUCCUAGGAAUGUAAACUGCUUUUAUGAGGGAGAAAUUUGAUGUACCUC